AGUGAACGCUGGCGGUAGGCCUAACACAUGCAAGUCGAACGGCAGCACAGUAAUAGCUUGCUCUUACGGGUGGCGAGUGGCGUACGGGUGAGGAAUACAUCGGAAUCUACUUUUUCGUGGGGGAUAACGUAGGGAAACUUACGCUAAUACCGCAUACGACCUACGGUUGAAAGCAGGUGAUCUUCGGACCUUGCGCGAUUGAAUGAGCCGAUGUCGGAUUAGCUAGUUGGCGGGGUAAAGGCCCACCAAGGCGACGAUCCGUAGAUGGUCUGAGAGGAUGAUCAGCCACACUGGAACUGAGACACGGACAAGAGUACUACGGGAGGCAGCAGUGGGGAAUAUUGGACAAUGGGCGAAAGCAUGAUCCAGCCAUACCGCGUGGGUGAAGAAGGCCUUCGGGUUGUAAAGCCCUUUUGUUGGGAAAGAAAAGCAGCAGGUUAAUACCCCGCUGUUCUGACGGUACCCAAAGAAUAAGCACCGGCUAACUUCGUG
rnacentral:rRNA from 1 species